rnacentral:lncRNA from 1 species
GCCGGGGACUCAGGGUUUUAACUAUUCUAUUUGUGUGAUCCUUGAUUAAUUUUGACUUUAUUUUAUUUUUAUUUUAUUUGUUAUUUUUCCAUUUUUAUUUUUUAUUUUUAUUUUUCAAUUCCUAAUUUUUAUUUUUAUUUUUGUACUAACAAUCUCUCUCUAGAAUUUUUGUGCAAGAUGCAGGGUGUUCUAGGAAAUUUCAACCAUUGGUAGGGAUCUCGCUUAAGCAUUAAUCAAAAUCAAUUUGGGCAAGUAGGUGGGCUAUUCACUAGACCACCACAAGCUAACAGUACUACAAAGCUUGAGGAGACUCUCCAACAGUUUUUGAAGGAAUCUCUUUCAAUUCAGGAAAGC